rnacentral:rRNA from 1 species
AUUGAACGCUGGCGGCAGGCCUAACACAUGCAAGUCGCACGAGUGGCGGACGGGUGAGUCAUGUCUGGGAAACUGCCUGCUGGAGGGUUAUAACUCCUUGAAACGGUCGCUAAUACCGCCUACCAUCCGAUGUGCCCAGAUGGGAUUAGCUUGUUGGUGGGGUAACGGCUCACCAAGGCGACGAUCCCUAGCUGGUCUGAGAGGAUGACCAGCGACACUGGAAUUGGGACACGGUCCAGGGUCCUGGGAGAGGCAGCAGUGGGGAAUAUUGAACAAGGGGCGCAAGCCUGAUGCAGCCAUGCCGCGUGUAUGAAGAAGGCCUUCGGGUUAUAAAGGACUUUCGGCGGGGAGGCGUUACCCGGAGAAGAAGCACCGGCAAGCUCAGUGCCAGCAGCCGCGGUAAUUC